rnacentral:rRNA from 1 species
AAAUUGAAGAGUUUGAUCAUGGCUCAGAUUGAACGCUGGCGGCAGGCCUAACACAUGCAAGUCGAACGGUAACAGGAAGAAGCUUGCUUCUUUGCUGACGAGUGGCGGACGGGUGAGUAAUGUCUGGGGAACUGCCUGAUGGAGGGGGAUAACUACUGGAAACGGUAGCUAAUACCGCAUAACGUCGCAAGACCAAAGAGGGGGACCUUCGGGCCUCUUGCCAUCGGAUGUGCCCAGAUGGGAUUAGCUAGUAGGUGGGGUAACGGCUC